rnacentral:sRNA from 1 species
GGAUGAGAAAGCAAUCUGACUGUGAUAUCUCUGAUCCCAGUGAUCAUCAGGGUUGAUCCAACUGAUCUAGCUGGCUAGGCAGCUGUCAUUACCACACUGUCAUUACCACACUCCUAACACUGUUCCAUGUACUUCCCUUCCUAGGCUGUGCAUUUGGUCAAAGAGGAUGGCCCUUCCAGGAUUGUAUCUUUUUCUAGCGAAGAGUACAUGAUUGCUCCUUUGGACGACUUCCAAACAAUGGCCGAGCAGCUGUUGCUUAGUGUAAGAAAACUUGUAACUUUCAGUCUGUUCUUAACUAGCAAAUAAAAAGGCCCAUCACAAUUCUUGGGGGCAUGUGAACAGGCCUCAAGUCAGCACGUGCAUGUGCCCCCAAG